UACGAAGGGGGCUAGCGUUGCUCGGAAUUACUGGGCGUAAAGCGCACGUAGGCGGCUUCUUAAGUCGGUGGUGAAAUCCUGGAGCUCAACUCCAGAACUGCCUUCGAUACUGGGAGCUCGAGUCCGGGAGAGGUGAGUGGAACUGCGAGUGUAGAGGUGAAAUUCGUAGAUAUUCGCAAGAACACCAGUGGCGAAGGCGGCUCACUGGCCCGGUACUGACGCUGAGACGCGAAAGCGUGGGGAGCGAACAGG
rnacentral:rRNA from 1 species